rnacentral:rRNA from 1 species
UACGUAGGGUGCGAGCGUUAAUCGGAAUUACUGGGCGUAAAGCGUGCGCAGGCGGUGGCUCAAGCCAGGCGUGAAAUCCCCGGGCUUAACCUGGGAAUGGCAUUUGGGACUGCAAGGCUCGAGUGCGGCAGAGGAGACUGGAAUUCCUGGUGUAGCAGUGAAAUGCGUAGAUAUCAGGAGGAACACCGAUGGCGAAGGCAGGUCUCUGGGCUGACACUGACGCUCAUGCACGAAAGCGUGGGGAGCAAACAGG